AGUAAGUUCACUUCCUACUAAUGGUCACGACCACACAGUAGGCCGGUUGUGUUUUUGGUUGUUGUCACUUUGUAGCAUUUUUUCCCUGCUUGUUGUCCAUUUGUUGACAAAUUGCUGUGUUUGUGUUUAGUCUACUUGAAUUUGUUUGCAGUGUGUUGAGCUCUCACAGCUGCCGUAGGGUUGGGUAUUUUUUUAAAGCUUCUUAUCUUUGGAAUUCUAGGGAGGAGUUGCACAACUAUUUGAGGGAGUAUAUGCAGUUUUUUGCCAACACAGAAAACUCAACUUCCAUUUUGGGUGUGAGACAGCGGACUAAAAGCAGACCAACUGGAACAAAGACAAGGAAUAAUCAAGGAUGUACAAUGAUCUCAAGAAAAAAAGAUCUCCAUCGAGUGUGUUGACAAUGCAGGUGGACUUCUUGGUGUAGUCAUCCAAGAGGACAAAACAUUCCCUAUUGCUUCGCAACAGGGGCCUGCUUUUGGUGCUGGACAUGGACAUCACAGUUCUGUGAGACCUUUCCAAUCCCCUCAUGAGGAUGAGGCCAUGGAGUGUGAUCCUCCAGAUACUAAAACUGAUUCAAAUGGAAGCAAUGGGGCGCUACCUGUAUCCUUCACUGAUGACGAUGAAGUCCCCAUGGAGGUGAACUAGCAGGUCUAACAGCUGUUGAUGCAGCCUGAUCAGGAGCACCUGGGCCCGGUGCUCCACAGGAAAUAAAAGGCCCAGCUUCCUGGAGCUCUCUCUCUCUCUGCCCUGCUGACACCAGAAGUCCUGUUGCUAUUUUGUUAUAGUUUUGUUUGCUGUUUAUUUGUGCAUCACAACACCACAUCCACAUUUACACACAUCCACAUGCACACUACUGAUGUUACUGAUUUUCACACCUCAUUCUUGUAUUUAGUUUACUUUUUAUAUAUACUUUUGGAAAUAAACCAACAGAAUUAUUGGCAUCUUGUCUCUUCCCGGUUUUUGUCAUGGCCUAGAGCCAGGUUUAUGACACUAAUGAUUCUUCAGAGCCAGUUUUCCAAUAUUUUUUUUUGCCAUUUCAAAACAGAGUAAACUCUUAUUUCAGUGAAUAUGUGACUCAUGCAACCUGCUUUGCAUCCCUUAGAAUCAUGCCAGUCCAGAAGCAUCAACCCUUCAGAUGAAAAGAUGUCCAGCAAAUGGCUGCUAAGAUGUUAAAAUAUUGAUUUGUAUCUGUGCUGUAGCAGUAUUAACCUAGUCUACAGUAUUGUAAUAAAAUGGCAAGCCGAACAAGCUUUACUUUGUAGUUGACUGUGUGAUAUAGGAAGUAUUGCUGUAUGGCAAAAAAACUGGAUUGCAUUGGUACUGAUGUUACUGUAUGUACUGUAUGACAACAGUGAUUACAUCUCAUGAACAUAGUAUUAUUUUUUGCAUAUGAUGUAUAAUAAAAUGGUUGCUUUUUUCUAAAA